AUGUAUGGAGAGUUUAGAUGGGAGAACAAACAUAAAACUUGGGACCGCAUAAGACAGCUUCAGCAUAGUUAUGAUCUGCCGUGGCUUCUAAUUGGUGAUCUUAAUGAGAUACAAUUUUUGCAUGAGAAAGAGGGGGGUAAUCCGAGACCCCAGCAGUACAUGCAGGCCUUCCAACAAGUUAUUGAUGACUGUAAUUUGUGUGACAUGGCUUUUGUGGGAGACCCAUUUACCUGGCGAAGAGGAAGGAUCAGAGGAAGACUCGAUAGAGGAUUAGUAAAUGAGGCUUGGUCAAGAUUGUUCCCACAGGUGGAAUUAGAGAACUUGGAAUUUAACCAUUCAGACCACCGGCCAUUGUUAGUUAACACGGAGUAUUAUUCCCAGCCGGUUGCAGGUGGAAGUGGCCAACAGAAAAAGUUUGAAGCUCGCUAG
rnacentral:rRNA from 1 species